rnacentral:lncRNA from 1 species
AUGCCUGGAUGUAAUCACUCUAUGACACAGUUACACAUGCUUUCUGAUCUCAGUAUUUACCGUAAUAAAUCUGUUCCUAUAAUUGAGGCAUACCGCCCUCAAAAACCUAUUUGUAAACAAAAUUGAACCUGGCCAGAAAAUGAACAUACUUGUUUAGGAAGAUUGCAUUGCAGAACAGGCAAAGGUGCUGCACAACGAUUCCUAUGGAAUCAUUAUUAAUUGGUCCCCUAAGGGGAUAUUUAGCUUGAAUUGCACCUCUGAGUCUGCAUGCCAUGGCCACACUAUGUUCAGAUGGUCUGAACAAAAUGGUCAGAUGGUAGAAAUGAUAAAAAGUAUGACAAGAGUUCCUAUUAUCUGGAACCAUGGCAGUAUAGUGGCACCUCAACCUCAAAUGAUAUGGCUUGUUGUAGGAGCUAACAUAAGAUUUUGUGGAAACUAUUAAUAGCUUUUAAUAAGAUCAAAAUUUGGGAAAGAAUAGAAAAGCAUCUAGAAGGACACCUACAAACUUGUUUUUGGAUAUUGCAAAAUUGAAAAAACAAAUAUUUAAAGCAUCCCAGGCACACCUGACCUUAAUGCCAAGAACUGGAGUGCUUGAAGGAGCUGCAGAGAGAUUAGUAGCUAGUAACCCAUUAAAAUGGAUAAAAACACUUGGAAGCUCUGUGAUUUCAAUGAUUAUUAUGCUUUUAAUCUGUGUUGUUGUUUUUCUUUGUAUAGUCUGCAGAUGUGGAUUCUGACUCCUAUGAGAAGUAGCUCACCGUGACAAAGCCUCUAUAUUUCUGUGUGUGUGUAAUUCCUCUAAUGCUGCUGGGUUAGGGUCUCCCCAACUGAGCUGGUCUUGGCAGGUCCUCAGCAACUUCAGUCCUUCUCUCCUCGGAAGAAAGAAUUCAACUGAGGGGCAUAGAGCAGAAAGAGAGACUGAGGCAAGUUCCAGAGCAGGAAUGGAAGUUUAUUUAAAAAGUCUUAGAACAGGAAUGAAAGGAAGGUGUGCUUGGAAGAGACCCGAGCAAGCACGUGAAGGUUAAAGAGAGAAGGUCAUGUUUAACCAUGAUCCUAGGACUUUUAUAAGCUCCCUUCUUUCCCAUGAUUCCUCCCUGAGGGUGGGUUUUCCUCAUACCCAGUGCUUUCCUUACCUUUUAGAAUUGAGCAUGUGUGGUGUGUUUAGGGAGUUAUAUGCAGGCCCAUCUGAGGCUUUCUUCCUUUUUCCAGUGGAGUGUGCCCCCGGAAGAUCAUACUUCACCAUGUUUUGCCUCUUAACAUGCAUGCCCAGGAAGUUGCUUCUCCCUGGGGCCUGCAUUCAAUUAACAUUUUGCUGUUAACAGGUGUGGACUACCAGGAAAUGGCCUCUCCCUGGUGCUGUGAAAUUACCAUUCUUAGAGAGGCAAUUCAGUAAUUGCCGAACCACCACCCAACAUUUUCAGUGGAUUAAGGGGGAGCCCUAUCCUGCCCCGCUCAUGCCUAACUACCUGUAACACAUUCAAUUGGUUGGGAGACUUAUAAUUUUAUUUUUGGCUUACAAUAAUCAUGAAAUAUUUAGAUAUAUGGUUUGUGGACCCUCGCUUGUACUUUUACCCUGGGCUCUAUAAAUUUUGAGCUGGGCCUGUCUGGUUUUCAUAGAGUUAUGGGUACAAGACACUAUUUUCUUCCUAACUCUAAUGCAUGAAAAAUAAACUGGCAAAGUAAAAUGACAAACAGCAACCAGCAACUGGCCUCAGUCAAGGAGAAAGCACGGGGAAAAUGGGAGCAUCCUAGAAAAGGAGGCAACCAAGCAUUGCAGCCAAGCUCCAAAGGGCAGUCACCACACCAGCACACAGGAUCCACUUCUUGGGACCUUGGGCAAUAUAUUAAUAUCAUUUAGAUAAUGUGUUGGUAAUAUGAUCUGUGAAUUUCAUUAGAGGAUUUAAAGAGGGUAGAAUGAGGCCAGGUGUGGUGACUCACGCCCAUAAUCCCAGCACUUUGGGUGGCCGAGGCGGGUGGAUCACUUGAGGUCAAGAGUUUUGAGACCAGUCUGGCCAACAUGGUGAAACCCCGUCUCUACUAAAAAUACAAAAAUUAGCCAGGCACCUGUAGUCCCAGCUACUCGGGAGGCUGAGGCAGGAGAAUCGCCUGAACCCGAGAGGGGGAAGUUGCAGUGUGCUGAGAUUGUGCCACUACACUCCAUGAGUGACAGAGACUGUCUAAAUAAAUAAAUAAAGAGGGUAGAAUGAAGAUAUUCGGGUAGUUAAGGUUGGGAAUCAUUGUUUUAACUCUUCCUCUACUGUUUGCUGUUUUGGUUGCUCCAAAACUUUAUAACUGCGUUAUAACUGAUACCCAGAGUCUGUCACUGUGGCCAUCAACACAGCCCUGAGCUCUCAGUAGCUUAUGACAGCAAGGAUUAAUUUCUUGGUCCUACUCAUGUCCACUGUGGGUUGGCAGAGGGAGAAUCGGCCUUUGUGGAGGAUGCCUAAUGGAUGUGCAGUCCAACCUGAUGUGGUGGGCUUUGCUCUGCAGUCUGUUCCUGUUUGUGUCUCUGCAGCUAAAGAAAUCAACUCCUCUUUGAGCUUGCCCAAAAGGGGUCAUUCCCACAAAGAAAAGGGAACAAAGAGGAACUGUUGAUUUUGGAGGGGAGAAAAGGAAGGGAAUUUUCAUUACAUACUCCCGUAUUCUCCCCAAAGACGGGUCUCCACUCUGCCACAGAGGGUCCUCUUCCCCCUCCCUCCCCUCUUGCCACGUACCAGGCCCUCCUCUCUUUUCCACCUCCCUUAGGAUUCUCCUUCCCUUUAUUACCCAGAGCAAGUCUGUGGCCAGCCUUUGAUUCUGAAUGUCCCACCGCCCCAGCUUCACCACAUCAGAAUGUUCUAGGUAAAUGCAAAGCUCUCUCUGGAAAGACUUCUGGUGAAUUCCACUUCCUCACCCUAUCCCAGUUGGAUGAAGUCAGAUCAGCAGAGCACUAGAGCCCUGGAUCCAGCAUGCUGCCACCCCAUGCACACACUCCCUGCCCUGGGGGAGAUGAGCCUCCAUGAUGUUGGACUCGGCUUCCUCCAUCGUGGGCAGCCGCACACCCCUCCUUCCCCCGGGUCCAAGUGCUGCCCACAUCCGCGGGGUUGGGCAAUGCCCAUCGCCGUGUCACUGGGUCUGCUUCCAGCCAGCCUGGGGAGGGAAAGGAGGACAACAGCAUGACCCCCCUUCAGGGUGCAUGUUGGAAACCGCACAGAUCAUUUGCAGCCAGAUCCUGUUGACUAGAACUUGGUUCCAUGACCAACACUUAGUGCAAAGUAUGCUGGGAAAUCCAGCCUUUCUUCUGGGCAGCCGUGUGCCCAGGUAAAAUGCAGAGGUUAUAUGACUUAAGAAAGAAGGGGACAAAGAAAGGAAAUUGGGGGAUAACGAAGUCUUAUGUCCUUACCUUACACUUUCAGGAGAAUUAUGGAAAGGGGAAGAAAGCUGGAAAGCUGGGUCCAGUCUCGCCCAUCUGCACCAGAGGUCUCCAGCGUGACUGCAGUGGGCGCCCUGGCUAAAACCAAGCUCUGUUUGUGUCUGAAAAGCAGGGAGAGGCACUUCCUGGCUCUGUUUGAGUUGGAUGGGCCUGUGCUGGAGGCUUUGCCUGCUCUUCUGUCACGAAGGAUGUUUACGGGGAAGCCAGGACUGACCCUAUGGAGACACCAGGCUGGCUUCCACCUCUUGUUGGGAGGAGUGUGAGCGGCCUGGCUGUGGGCUGAGAGGCAGCUGCAUGUGCUUGGAUGCUGCCGUGGAUACCCCAGCCCUGGUAGCGUUUGAGGCAGAACAAAGGGAACUCAGGAAGCAGUUGACAUGGACUCAUCUGUUCUGGUAUAAGUGGCGCGUGCUAGGGCAAGUCCCACCACUAGGGACAGGGGAACAGGUUCUCUCAGGGAAGCUGCCAUCUCCAGCACCAGGCAUUGUGGUAGAAGACCAAUUCUGAGCUAGGAACAGAGCACAGAAGGCUUUAAGCAGAAGUGAAGGCACAUUCUUUUCCGUCUGGAGGCAGCAAGAUGUGAGGCUGGACAUGCCAGGAGCACUCCGGGGUCUGAGCUGACCCUGCCGCAGAAGUGUCUGGCUCUCCCAGGCCAAGCAACACCAUCAUACCCAGGUGACUGCGCAACUUCCAGGCCCACCCAGGAACACCCACAGGUGGAGCAGAGAAACGCAGAGAUGUGGACGGUCUCUCUUCAGAAGCUUUAUUCUCCCUGGGAGGGGCACACCUCACCCAGCCAAGGGCUGCUUCUGACUGGACAGAGGGCGUCCAAGAUGCAGACAUGAUUCGAAGGUCACCGUCUUGAUCCGCAGAUACUCGUUCAGAGCUGCCUCUCCUGCAAGACACCACAAAGGUCACAGCAGCUCCCACCACAGGCAGGGCACUGCUCGGGGCUGCAAGUGUCUUAUUCCUCAGCAACCGCGUGGGGGCAGCUCUGGCUCACCCCACUUCCAGAAGGUGGCCUGGGAGAAGGCAGGAAGAGGAGGCCGACAGGGACAGAGGAAGCAGGAGUGUCCAGCCUACACAUGCGUGCAUCUCAGCAUGACCUUCCCUGUGGUCUCUGGGCUGGCACAGGAGCCUGGAGAGACAGGUGGGACCUCUGAGACAGCAUAUGGCUUCCCCGGACCUUGCCAGCCACCCUUGCCAAGCUUGCCCAUCAGACCUGUCUAGUCCCCCCUGCUGAGAGAGCAGGACGAGGCCCAAGGCUUGGAGCAGCCCAGGGAGAGAGGGCUGGAGCAGAACUCCACGCCACCCAGCAGGCAGAGCACUGGGGGGUCUGUGCUGUGUGCCGGGGGACCCCACCUGCUGCCGCCUGAGUAACUUCAUCUCUACUGGGAGACUUGCAACACCCGUGGUGUUCACCCGGGGGUACAUUUGGUCCCAUGGCUCCUCUUUACACUAAGGAUGCAACCUGAGCCCCUGACCAUGGCCCAUGGGCCUUCAAUCUGGCCCCUACCUGCCUCUCAGGCCUUCUCUCCUCCCUCCUGCUCCCCCUUGGCCCACUCCCACCACUCUGGCCUCUCUGCAGCUCCACGACCAAAGCUGGUUCCCCCAAGGACCUGCUGAACCCUCAGCCAGAAACACGGGCCCCUGGGUCUUCACGGCCAACUCCUCCCUGCUAUGCAGGUCUGGGUAGCACAGGUGCCACCACACCAGAGAGGCCCCCAGUGCCUCCUGGCUGGAGUGUCUCCUCCAGGCCCCUCUUCUUGCCUUCUUCCCAGCACCACCCCCCUCUGCAAGCAUCUUGCUCACGGACUUGUCACAAGUUCCCUCCCAGUAAGAAGCAAGCCCUGACAGCCAUCAUGUUCAAGGCUAUGUCCCUGCAUCUGGGAUAGGACCUGGCACUAAGUGGUUUUGAACAGAUGUUUGUUGAAUGAAUAAAUGAAAGCAACCCCACAGGCAGGAGUAGGUUACCUAGAUCUUUGCCAAAUCCAGACUGUUUGAAUCCUCCGAAGGGAGCGGCCACGUCGGUCUUGUUGUACGUGUUGACAAACACAGUGCCUGCCUGGAGCUUGUCACUGACAUACAGGGCCUUGUUGAUGUCCCUGGUGAAGACACCAGAAGCCAGGCCAAAUUCCGUGGCAUUGGCCCGAGACAGCACGGCAUCCACGUCCCUGGAGAGAAAGUCCAGGAAGGACUCCCUGAGAGAGGUGCAGAGGAGAGCCUGGCCCACUCCACACCCCAGGACAGAGCCCUAAGACCUGCUGCACUGAGGUCAAUCCUGCCUGACCUCACUGAGAUUCAAUCCUGCCUAACUUAGGAAUAAUCAAGAGACUGGGAAUUUUCUCACUCUAGUUUUUAG